GGGUUGUGAGGUUAAGCGACUAAGCGUACACGGUGGAUGCCCUGGCAGUCAGAGGCGAUGAAGGGCGUGCUAAUCUGCGAUAAGCGCCGGUAAGGUGAUAUGAACCGUUAUAACCGGCGAUACCCGAAUGGGGAAACCCAGUGUGAUUCGUCACACUAUCAUUAACUGAAUCCAUAGGUUAAUGAGGCGAACCGGGGGAACUGAAACAUCUAAGUACCCCGAGGAAAAGAAAUCAACCGAGAUUCCCCCAGUAGCGGCGAGCGAACGGGGAGGAGCCCAGAGCCUGAAUCAGCAUGUGUGUUAGUGGAAGCGUCUGGAAAGGCGCGCGAUACAGGGUGACAGCCCCGUACACAAAAGCGCAUGUGCUGUGAGCUCGAUGAGUAGGGCGGGACACGUGGUAUCCUGUCUGAAUAUGGGGGGACCAUCCUCCAAGGCUAAAUACUCCUGACUGACCGAUAGUGAACCAGUACCGUGAGGGAAAGGCGAAAAGAACCCCGGCGAGGGGAGUGAAAAAGAACCUGAAACCGUGUACGUACAAGCAGUGGGAGCNNNNNNNNNNNNNNNNNNNNNNNNNNNNNNNNNNNNNNNGCGUUAAGUUGCAGGGUAUAGACCCGAAACCCGGUGAUCUAGCCAUGGGCAGGUUGAAGGUUGGGUAACACUAACUGGAGGACCGAACCGACUAAUGUUGAAAAAUUAGCGGAUGACCUGUGGCUGGGGGUGAAAGGCCAAUCAAACCGGGAGAUAGCUGGUUCUCCCCGAAAGCUAUUUAGGUAGCGCCUCGUGAAUUCAUCUCCGGGGGUAGAGCACUGUUUCGGCUAGGGGGCCAUCCCGGCUUACCAACCCGAUGCAAACUGCGAAUACCGGAGAAUGUUAUCACGGGAGACACACGGCGGGUGCUAACGUCCGUCGUGAAGAGGGAAACAACCCAGACCGCCAGCUAAGGUCCCAAAGUCAUGGUUAAGUGGGAAACGAUGUGGGAAGGCCCAGACAGCCAGGAUGUUGGCUUAGAAGCAGCCAUCAUUUAAAGAAAGCGUAAUAGCUCACUGGUCGAGUCGGCCUGCGCGGAAGAUGUAACGGGGCUAAACCAUGCACCGAAGCUGCGGCAGCGACACUGUGUGUUGUUGGGUAGGGGAGCGUUCUGUAAGCCUGCGAAGGUGGCCUGUGAGGGUUGCUGGAGGUAUCAGAAGUGCGAAUGCUGACAUAAGUAACGAUAAAGCGGGUGAAAAGCCCGCUCGCCGGAAGACCAAGGGUUCCUGUCCAACGUUAAUCGGGGCAGGGUGAGUCGACCCCUAAGGCGAGGCCGAAAGGCGUAGUCGAUGGGAAACGGGUUAAUAUUCCCGUACUUGGUGUUACUGCGAAGGGGGGACGGAGAAGGCUAUGUUGGCCGGGCGACGGUUGUCCCGGUUUAAGCGUGUAGGUGUGUGUUCCAGGUAAAUCCGGUUCACUUUAACACUGAGGCGUGACGACGAGGCACUACGGUGCUGAAGCAACAAAUGCCCUGCUUCCAGGAAAAGCCUCUAAGCAUCAGGUAACAUCAAAUCGUACCCCAAACCGACACAGGUGGUCAGGUAGAGAAUACCAAGGCGCUUGAGAGAACUCGGGUGAAGGAACUAGGCAAAAUGGUGCCGUAACUUCGGGAGAAGGCACGCUGACACGUAGGUGAAGUGAUUUACUCAUGGAGCUGAAGUCAGUCGAAGAUACCAGCUGGCUGCAACUGUUUAUUAAAAACACAGCACUGUGCAAACACGAAAGUGGACGUAUACGGUGUGACGCCUGCCCGGUGCCGGAAGGUUAAUUGAUGGGGUCAGCGCAAGCGAAGCUCCUGAUCGAAGCCCCGGUAAACGGCGGCCGUAACUAUAACGGUCCUAAGGUAGCGAAAUUCCUUGUCGGGUAAGUUCCGACCUGCACGAAUGGCGUAAUGAUGGCCAGGCUGUCUCCACCCGAGACUCAGUGAAAUUGAACUCGCUGUGAAGAUGCAGUGUACCCGCGGCAAGACGGAAAGACCCCGUGAACCUUUACUAUAGCUUGACACUGAACAUUGAGCCUUGAUGUGUAGGAUAGGUGGGAGGCUUUGAAGUGUGGACGCCAGUCUGCAUGGAGCCGACCUUGAAAUACCACCCUUUAAUGUUUGAUGUUCUAACGUGGACCCGUUACCCGGGUUGCGGACAGUGUCUGGUGGGUAGUUUGACUGGGGCGGUCUCCUCCUAAAGAGUAACGGAGGAGCACGAAGGUUGGCUAAUCCUGGUCGGACAUCAGGAGGUUAGUGCAAUGGCAUAAGCCAGCUUGACUGCGAGCGUGACGGCGCGAGCAGGUGCGAAAGCAGGUCAUAGUGAUCCGGUGGUUCUGAAUGGAAGGGCCAUCGCUCAACGGAUAAAAGGUACUCCGGGGAUAACAGGCUGAUACCGCCCAAGAGUUCAUAUCGACGGCGGUGUUUGGCACCUCGAUGUCGGCUCAUCACAUCCUGGGGCUGAAGUAGGUCCCAAGGGUAUGGCUGUUCGCCAUUUAAAGUGGUACGCGAGCUGGGUUUAGAACGUCGUGAGACAGUUCGGUCCCUAUCUGCCGUGGGCGCUGGAGAACUGAGGGGGGCUGCUCCUAGUACGAGAGGACCGGAGUGGACGCAUCACUGGUGUUCGGGUUGUCAUGCCAAUGGCACUGCCCGGUAGCUAAAUGCGGAAGAGAUAAGUGCUGAAAGCAUCUAAGCACGAAACUUGCCCCGAGAUGAGUUCUCCCUGAGACUUAGAGUCUCCUGAAGGAACGUUGAAGACGACGACGUUGAUAGGCCGGGUGUGUAAGCGCAGCGAUGCGUUGAGCUAACCGGUACUAAUGAACCGUGAGGCUUAACCUUACAACGCCGAAG
rnacentral:rRNA from 1 species